rnacentral:rRNA from 1 species
AGUGAACGCUGGCGGUAGACCUAACACAUGCAAGUCGAACGGCAGCACAGUAAGAGCUUGCUCUUACGGGUGGCGAGUGGCGGACGGGUGGGGAAUACAUCGGAAUCUACUUUUUCGUGGGGGAUAACGUAGGGAAACUUACGCUAAUACCGCAUACGACCUACGGGUGAAAGCAGGGGAUCUUCGGACCUUGCGCGAUUGAAUGAGCCGAUGUCGGAUUAGCUAGUUGGCGGGGUAAAGGCCCACCAAGGCGACGAUCCGUAGCUGGUCUGAGAGGAUGAUUAGCCACAGUGGAACUGAGACACGGUCCCUACUCCUACGGUAGGCAGCAGUGGGGAAUAUUGGACCAUGCGCGCAAGCCUGGUCCAGCCAUACCGCGUGGGUGAAGAAGGCCUUCGGGUUGUAAAGCCCUUUUGUUGGGAAAGACCAGCAGCAGGUUAAUACCCCGCUGUUCUGACGGUACCCAAAGAAUAAGCACCGGCUAACUUCGUG